rnacentral:rRNA from 1 species
ACGGGAGGCAGCAGUGGGGAAUAUUGGACAAUGGGCGCAAGCCUGAUCCAGCCAUGCCGCGUGAGUGAUGAAGGCCCUAGGGUUGUAAAGCUCUUUCGGCGGGGACGAUAAUGACGGUACCCGCAGAAGAAGCCCCGGCUAACUUCGUGCCAGCAGCCGCGGUAAUACGAAGGGGGCUAGCGUUGCUCGGAAUCACUGGGCGUAAAGGGCGCGUAGGCGGCCGUUCAAGUCGGGGGUGAAAGCCUGUGGCUCAACCACAGAAUUGCCUUCGAUACUGGAUGGCUCGAGACCGGAAGAGGUGAGUGGAACUGCGAGUGUAGAGGUGAAAUUCGUAGAUAUUCGCAAGAACACCAGUGGCGAAGGCGGCUCACUGGUCCGGUUCUGACGCUGAGGCGCGAAAGCGUGGGGAGCAAACAGGAUUAGAUACCCUGGUA